rnacentral:rRNA from 1 species
AGCCCGCUCAGAAACUUAAUGAAUGACGGGGCCGCACAAGCGAGGAGCAUGUGGUUUAAUUCGAUGAUACGCGAGGAACCUUACCUGGGCUCGAACGUAAGAUGACUGUAGGUGAAAGCUUACAUCUCUUCGGAGCAUUUUACGAGGUGCUGCAUGGUUGUCGUCAGCUCGUGCCGUGAGGUGUCGGGUUAAGUCCCAUAACGAGCGCAACCCCUACCUUUAGUUGCCAUCAGGUUAAGCUGGGGACUCUAAAGGAACUGCCUACGCAAGUAGUGAGGAAGGCGGGGAUGACGUCAAAUCAGCACGGCCCUUACGUCCAGGGCUACACACGUGCUACAAUGGCCGAUACAGAGGGCAGCUACCUGGUGACAGGAUGCAAAUCUCCAAAGUCGGUCUCAGUUCGGAUCGGAGUCUGCAACCCGACUCCGUGAAGUUGGAUUCGCUAGUAAUCGCAGAUCAGCCAAGCUGCGGUGAAUACGUUCCCGGGCCUU